UUUUAGCAUUAUUCUCUUUCUAUCUGAAUCUAACAAAUUAAGAUCAGAGCGAUGGAGUUUUCAGACGGAGAAACCAGACCAAUUUUAGAUUUAUGAUUCAAAGGUGCUAAGUACCAAAAAAACCCUAAAAUUCAUUUUAAUUUGUUUCUCUCUUCAAUAAUUGUUUCUCCAACAAAUGAAGAGGAUGAAAAACAAUGGUAAAUCAAAUCGGGGAUAAGAAACGUGGUUUAAUUGGAAACAACGCCAAACCAGAAAAAGGAAAAGAAAUACCCUAGAUUUCAAUUGAAGGAUAUUCGUCGACCGCUUUCAAUUAUCAAUUCACAUUGAGGAGGAGGAGGAGGAGGAGGAGGAAGAAGAAGAAGAAGAAUGGACAAAUAAGGAGGACAAGGAGGAAGAAUCUGUGAUAUUAGGUAGGGAUGAGUUGAAAGAUAAUGAAUUUUCCUUGAAAAUGUUCUUCAAAGGUGUAUCUACCCUUAAGGCAGGUGAUUUGGGGUCUGGGUUUUCAGAGAAAACUUAAUUUUUUUGUAGAGGAAUCAAUUGCUCAAUAUUUUCCUUUGAUGGAUGGUAUGGUGGAGGCAUUGGAAAACAAGAUUCGUCUUGUUGUUGCUUUUACAGCUUCUGAGAUUGUUUAUGAUCAAUUCCUUCACUGGGAUCAGACAAUACCUCGAGGAAGAGACCCCAUGAAAGUCAGGCACUUGAUGAUGCUUCAGCAUAGGUCAACCAUGCCUCUAGCUCCAGACCAUGGAAAAGUCCAAGACUGAUCAAACAGGCUCAACGUCCGGAAUUGUUGCGAGUAGAAAAUGAAAAUAGUCUACCUUUUGCUUUCAGAACUACUUUGCAUUAUCGAGAGAGUUUGUUUUGUUCUGUGAUCUACCUUUAGGCAUUCUUAUGUCAGAAUAACGAAGAAUAUGAUUUGCUUCACAGUAAUAACGCGGCAGUCGGUAGGUGAAGUUUCCUUUUGAUGGUUGAGAUGGUACUUACAGGGUCACUUUUCGUGUUCUCAAUAUGGUUUUUUGUGUAGUUUUGGUUGAAAAGUUAUUGAAUAAAAAGUUUGAUUUUAUUUGGAAUCGAAUGGAAGGCGCAUCGCGCGUGCGUGUUAUACUAGUAUAAAUAAAUAGUACUCUUUGAUUUCUUGCAUUCUUGAGACUUCAUCUUUUGGAGUUAAUUAUGAGCUAUUUAGGAUGACACUCUAAACCUUUUUAGGUUGAAACAGUCCUUACAACUAUGGAUUGAGUUCCACUUAAUCGUUCUAAAAUCCUUAAAUAUAUACGUUCAUAAUUGACUGCGAAACUCAGAUGCUAGCAAUAGCAUGGUAGUCGUUUGAAAGAUUCAUCCUCGCAAUUAAUCAUUACU